rnacentral:rRNA from 1 species
ACGCACGCUGGCGGCAUGCCUCACACAUGCAAGUCGAACGCGACCUUCGGGUCUAGUGGCGCACGGGUGCGUUACGCGUGGGAACCUGCCCUUAGGUUCGGAAUAACUCCCCGAAAGGGGUGCUAAUACCGGAUAAUGUCUUCGGACCAAAGAUUUAUCGCCUUUGGAUGGGCCCGCGUUGGAUUAGCUAGUUGGUAGGGUAAAAGCCUACCAAGGCGACGAUCCAUAGCUGGUCUGAGAGGAUGAUCAGCCACACUGGGACUGAGACACGGCCCAGACUCCUACGGGAGGCAGCAGUGGGGAAUAUUGGACAAUGGGCGAAAGCCUGAUCCAGCAAUGCCGCGUGAGUGAUGAAGGCCUUAGGGUUGUAAAGCUCUUUUACCCGGGAUGAUAAUGACAGUACCGGGAGAAUAAGCUCCGGCUAACUCCGUG